AAGUCGUAACAAGGUUUCCGUAGGUGAACCUGCGGAAGGAUCAUUACAGUUUUCUGCGCUUAACUGCGCGAAAUACACAGUGUUUCUACAUUCAAUUAUCUCCAGUGGGCGUAAGCACGCUGGAGGAAACCCAAAUAAAUAUUUUAAUAAUUAGUCAAGAUAAUUUUAAUAUCAAAACUUUCAACAACGGAUCUCUUGGUUCUG
rnacentral:misc_RNA from 1 species